UACGUAGGGUGCGAGCGUUAAUCGGAAUUACUGGGCGUAAAGCGUGCGCAGGCGGUUUUGUAAGCCAGAUGUGAAAUCCCCGGGCUUAACCUGGGAAUGGCAUUUGGGACUGCAAGGCUUGAGUGCGGCAGAGGAGACUGGAAUUCCUGGUGUAGCAGUGAAAUGCGUAGAUAUCUGGAGGAACACCGGUGGCGAAGGCGGCGAUCCUGGACCGACACUGACGCUGAGGAGCGAAAGCCAGGGGAGCAAACAGGG
rnacentral:rRNA from 1 species